UCUUCCGUAGUAUAGUGGUUAGUAUAUGAGCUUGUCAUUCGACAAUUCGCUCGGGACCCGGGUUCAAUUCCCGGCGGGAGAG